UGUUUGAAAUUUCAUCCAUUUGUACUGUUAAAAAUUAGUGUGGUUGACAGAAAAACAAGACAAUGACAUGGAACAUGCCUCGAGGACCACUUUUUAAUAGUAAAAAUAGAUAAAAAUUUUAACA
rfam:Gossypium arboreum cultivar AKA8401 contig_49620_1, whole genome shotgun sequence.